AGGGUGUAAACGCUGCAGACUUGGUGUUGGGAACCCUUCGGGGGUGCUCAGUGCCGGAGAGAAGUUGUUAAGUCUGCUACUUGGGGAGUACGUCCGCAAGGAUGAAACUUAAAGGAAUUGGCGGGGGAGCACCGCAACGGGAGGAGCGUGCGGUUUAAUUGGAUUCAACACCGUAAAACUCACCAGGGAAGACUGUUACAUGAAGGCCGAGGUGAAGACUCUGCUAGAUUUUCAGAGAGGAGGUGCAUGGCGUCAGUGACU
rnacentral:rRNA from 1 species